AUUGAACGCUGGCGGCAUGCUUUACACAUGCAAGUCGAACGGUAACAGGCCGCAAGGUGCUGACGAGUGGCGAACGGGUGAGUAAUGCAUCGGAACGUGCCCAGUCGUGGGGGAUAGCGCAGCGAAAGCUGCGCUAAUACCGCAUACGAUCUAUGGAUGAAAGCGGGGGACCGUAAGGCCUCGCGCGAUUGGAGCGGCCGAUGUCAGAUUAGGUAGGUGGUGGGGUAAAGGCCCACCAAGCCAACGAUCUGUAGCGGGUCGGAGAGGGCGACCAGGCAAAGUGGGGCUGAGAGACGGCCCAGAGUCCUACGGGAGGCAGCAGUGGGGAAUUUUGGACAAUGGGCGCAAGCCUGAUCCAGCAAUGCCGCGUGCAGGAAGAAGGCCUUCGGGUUGUAAACUGCUUUUGUACGGAACGAAACGGCUCUGGUUAAUACCUGGGGCUAAUGACGGUACCGUAAGAAUAGGCACCGGCUAACUACGUGCCAGCCGCCGCAGUAACAC
rnacentral:rRNA from 1 species